UGUAAAUGUAGACAGGCAGGGAGUGUAAACAGGACUUAUUAACGCCUAAAGGGUGGAGACAAGUGAGCAAAACAAGUGAUCUUCACCGAUACCUGAUACAAUGAUUUACCGAUCUUGCAAUGACCUCCCUAGGCCAGAGACUAAUAGAUUGAUAUUAACCUGAAGUGCAAGAUGCUUUGGUACAUUGUCCAAAAGGGGUAUAGGCUACAAUUCAGGU